rnacentral:rRNA from 1 species
GUCUACAGCCAUGCCACCCUGAACAGGCCCAAUCUUGUCUGAUCUCGGAAGCUAAGCAGCGUCUGGCCUGGUUAGUACUUGGAUAGGAGACCACCUAAUAAUACCAUGUGCUGUAGGCA